AGAAUCAACGCUGGCGGCGUGCCUAACACAUGCAAGUCGAACGAGAAAGUGGAGCAAUCCAUUAGUAAAGUGGCGCACGGGUGAGUAACACGUGACUAACCCACCCUUGAGUGGGGGAUAACCUAGGGAAACCUGGGCUAAUACCGCAUAAUACCUUCGGGUCAAAGGAGCAAUUCGCUUAAGGAGGGGGUCGCGGCCGAUUAGUUAGUUGGCGGGGUAAUGGCCCACCAAGACGAUGAUCGGUAUCCGGCCUGAGAGGGCGCACGGACACACUGGAACUGAAACACGGUCCAGACUCCUACGGGAGGCAGCAGUGGGGAAUUUUGCGCAAUGGGGGAAACCCUGACGCAGCAACGCCGCGUGGAGGAUGAAGCCCCUUGGGGCGUAAACUCCUUUCGAUCGGGACGAUAAUGACGGUACCGGAAGAAGAAGCCCGGCUAACUUCGUGCCAGCAGCCGC
rnacentral:rRNA from 1 species